GGUUAAGCGACUAAGCGUACACGGUGGAUGCCCCGGCAGUCAGAGGCGAUGAAGGACGUGCUAAUCUGCGAUAAGCGUCGGUAAGGUGAUAUGAACCGUUAUAACCGGCGAUUUCCGAAUGGGGAAACCCAGUGUGUUUCGACACACUAUCAUUAACUGAAUCCAUAGGUUAAUGAGGCGAACCGGGGGAACUGAAACAUCUAAGUACCCCGAGGAAAAGAAAUCAACCGAGAUUCCCCCAGUAGCGGCGAGCGAACGGGGAGCAGCCCAGAGCCUGAAUCAGUGUGUGUGUUAGUGGAAGCGUCUGGAAAGGCGCGCGAUACAGGGUGACAGCCCCGUACACAAAAAUGCACAUGCUGUGAGCUCGAUGAGUAGGGCGGGACACGUGGUAUCCUGUCUGAAUAUGGGGGACCAUCCUCCAAGGCUAAAUACUCCUGACUGACCGAUAGUGAACCAGUACCGUGAGGGAAAGGCGAAAAGAACCCCGGCGAGGGGAGUGAAAAAGAACCUGAAACCGUGUACGUACAAGCAGUGGGAGCACGCUUCGGCGUGUGACUGCGUACCUUUUGUAUAAUGGGUCAGCGACUUAUAUUCUGUAGCAAGGUUAACCGAAUAGGGGAGCCGAAGGGAAACCGAGUCUUAACUGGGCGUUAAGUUGCAGGGUAUAGACCCGAAACCCGGUGAUUCUAGCCAUGGGCAGGUUGAAGGUUGGGUAACACUAACUGGAGGACCGAACCGACUAAUGUUGAAAAAUUAGCGGAUGACUUGUGGCUGGGGGUGAAAGGCCAAUCAAACCGGGAGAUAGCUGGUUCUCCCCGAAAGCUAUUUAGGUAGCGCCUCGUGAAUUCAUCUCCGGGGUAGAGCACUGUUUCGGCAAGGGGGUCAUCCCGACUUACCAACCCGAUGCAAACUGCGAAUACCGGAGAAUGUUAUCACGGGAGACACACGGCGGGUGCUAACGUCCGUCGUGAAGAGGGAAACAACCCAGACCGCCAGCUAAGGUCCCAAAGUCAUGGUUAAGUGGGAAACGAUGUGGGAAGGCCCAGACAGCCGGGAUGUUGGCUUAGAAGCAGCCAUCAUUUAAAGAAAGCGUAAUAGCUCACUGGUCGAGUCGGCCUGCGCGGAAGAUGUAACGGGGCUAAACCAUGCACCGAAGCUGCGGCAGCGACGCUUAUGCGUUGUUGGGUAGGGGAGCGUUCUGUAAGCCUGUGAAGGUGUGCUGUGAGGCAUGCUGGAGGUAUCAGAAGUGCGAAUGCUGACAUAAGUAACGAUAAAGCGGGUGAAAAGCCCGCUCGCCGGAAGACCAAGGGUUCCUGUCCAACGUUAAUCGGGGCAGGGUGAGUCGACCCCUAAGGCGAGGCCGAAAGGCGUAGUCGAUGGGAAACAGGUUAAUAUUCCUGUACUUGGUGUUACUGCGAAGGGGGACGGAGAAGGCUAUGUUGGCCGGGCGACGGUUGUCCCGGUUUAAGCGUGUAGGCUGGUUUUCCGGGCAAAUCCGGAAAAUCAAGGCUGAGGCGUGAUGACGAGGCACUACGGUGCUGAAGCAACAAAUGCCCUGCUUCCGGGAAAAGCCUCUAAGCAUCAGGUAACAUCAAAUCGUACCCCAAACCGACACAGGUGGUCAGGUAGAGAAUACCAAGGCGCUUGAGAGAACUCGGGUGAAGGAACUAGGCAAAAUGGUGCCGUAACUUCGGGAGAAGGCACGCUGAUAUGUAGGUGAAGUCCCUUGCGGAUGGAGCUGAAAUCAGUCGAAGAUACCAGCUGGCUGCAACUGUUUAUUAAAAACACAGCACUGUGCAAACACGAAAGUGGACGUAUACGGUGUGACGCCUGCCCGGUGCCGGAAGGUUAAUUGAUGGGGUCAGCGCAAGCGAAGCUCUUGAUCGAAGCCCCGGUAAACGGCGGCCGUAACUAUAACGGUCCUAAGGUAGCGAAAUUCCUUGUCGGGUAAGUUCCGACCUGCACGAAUGGCGUAAUGAUGGCCGUGCUGUCUCCACCCGAGACUCAGUGAAAUUGAACUCGCUGUGAAGAUGCAGUGUACCCGCGGCAAGACGGAAAGACCCCGUGAACCUUUACUAUAGCUUGACACUGAACAUUGAGCCUUGAUGUGUAGGAUAGGUGGGAGGCUUUGAAGUGUGGACGCCAGUCUGCAUGGAGCCGACCUUGAAAUACCACCCUUUAAUGUUUGAUGUUCUAACGUUGACCCGUAAUCCGGGUUGCGGACAGUGUCUGGUGGGUAGUUUGACUGGGGCGGUCUCCUCCUAAAGAGUAACGGAGGAGCACGAAGGUUGGCUAAUCCUGGUCGGACAUCAGGAGGUUAGUGCAAUGGCAUAAGCCAGCUUGACUGCGAGCGUGACGGCGCGAGCAGGUGCGAAAGCAGGUCAUAGUGAUCCGGUGGUUCUGAAUGGAAGGGCCAUCGCUCAACGGAUAAAAGGUACUCCGGGGAUAACAGGCUGAUACCGCCCAAGAGUUCAUAUCGACGGCGGUGUUUGGCACCUCGAUGUCGGCUCAUCACAUCCUGGGGCUGAAGUAGGUCCCAAGGGUAUGGCUGUUCGCCAUUUAAAGUGGUACGCGAGCUGGGUUUAGAACGUCGUGAGACAGUUCGGUCCCUAUCUGCCGUGGGCGCUGGAGAACUGAGGGGGCUGCUCCUAGUACGAGAGGACCGGAGUGGACGCAUCACUGGUGUUCGGGUUGUCAUGCCAAUGGCACUGCCCGGUAGCUAAAUGCGGAAGAGAUAAGUGCUGAAAGCAUCUAAGCACGAAACUUGCCCCGAGAUGAGUUCUCCCUGACUCCUUGAGAGUCCUGAAGGAACGUUGAAGACGACGACGUUGAUAGGCCGGGUGUGUAAGCGCAGCGAUGCGUUGAGCUAACCGGUACUAAUGAACCGUGAGGCUUAACCUU
rnacentral:rRNA from 1 species